rnacentral:rRNA from 1 species
UACGUAGGGCGCAAGCGUUGUCCGGAAUUAUUGGGCGUAAAGAGCUCGUAGGUGGCGUGUCGCGUCUGCCGUGAAAGCCCAUGGCUUAACUGUGGGUCUGCGGUGGAUACGGGCAGGCUGGAGGCUGGUAGGGGCAAGCGGAAUUCCUGGUGUAGCGGUGAAAUGCGCAGAUACCAGGAGGAACACCGGUGGCGAAGGCGGCUUGCUGGGCCAGUUCUGACGCUGAGGAGCGAAAGCGUGGGGAGCGAACAGG